rnacentral:rRNA from 1 species
AACGAACGCUGGCGGCAUGCCUAACACAUGCAAGUCGAACGAGGCCUUCGGGUCUAGGUGCGCACGGGUUCGUCACGCGAGGGAACCGUCCCUUAGGUUCGGUAUAACUUCCCGCAGGGGGUGCCAUUACCGGACAAUUUCUUCGGCCCAAAGAUUUAUCGCCUCAGGAGGGGUCCGCGUUGGAUUAGCUAGUUGGUAGGGUAAACGUCAACCAAGGUUACGAUGCAUAGCUGGUGUGAGAGGAUGUUCACCAACCCUAGGACUGACACACGUCCCAGACGCCUGCGGGAGGCAGCAAGGGGGACUAUUGGACGCUGCGCGAAAGACUGAUCCAGCAAUGCCGCGUGAGUGAUGAAGGACUUAGGAUUGUAAAGCUCUUUUAACCGGGAUGAUAAUGACAGUACCGGGAGAAUAAGCGCCGGCUAACUCCGUG